rnacentral:rRNA from 1 species
GUGGGGAAUAUUGCACAAGUACGGGGGGAAACCCCUGAUGCAGCGACGCCGCGUGAAGGAAGAAGUAUCUCGGUAUGUAAACUUCUAUCAGCAGGGAAGAUAGUGACGGUACCUGACUAAGAAGCCCCGGCUAACUACGUGCC